UGGUGGAGUGAUUUGUCUGGUUAAUUCCGUUAACGAACGAGACCGCGACCUGCUAAAUAGUUGUUGUAUUCCUCUGGAAUGCAACAUACUUCUUAGAGGGACUAUCGGAUGGUGUACCCCGGUGGAAGUUCGCGGCAAUAACA
rnacentral:rRNA from 1 species